rnacentral:rRNA from 1 species
GAUGAACGCUGACAGAAUGCUUAACACAUGCAAGUCGACUUAAAGCAACUUCGGUUGUGGAAAGUGGCGGACGGGUGAGUAACGCGUAAAGAACUUGCCCUUCAGUCUGGGACAACCAUUGGAAACGAUGGCUAAUACCGGAUAUUAUGGAACUCUCGCAUGGGAGGAUCAUGAAAGCUAUAUGCGCUGAAGGAGAGCUUUGCGUUCCAUUAGCUAGUUGGUGAGGUAACGGCUCACCAAGGCGACGAUGGAUAGCCGGCCUGAGAGGGUGAUCGGCCACAAGGGGACUGAGACACGGCCCUUACUCCUACGGGAGGCAGCAGUGGGGAAUAUUGGACAAUGGACCAAAAGUCUGAUCCAGCAAUUCUGUGUGCACGAUGAAGGUUUUCGGAUCGUAAAGUGCUUUCAGUUGGGAAGAAGAAAGUGACGGUACCAACAGAAGAAGCGACGGCUAAAUACGUGCCAGCAGCCGCGGUAAUACGUAUGUCGCAAGCGUUAUCCGGAUUUAUUGGGCGUAAAGCGCGUCUAGGCGGGUUCAUAAGUCUGAUGUUAAAAUGCGGGGCUCAACUCCGUAUUGCGUUGGAAACUGUGAACCUAGAGUAUCAGAGAGGUGGGCGGAACUACAAGUGUAGAGGUGAAAUUCGUAGAUAUUUGUAGGAAUGCCGAUGGAGAAGUCAGCUCACUGGAUGAAUACUGACGCUAAAGCGCGAAAGCGUGGGUAGCAAACAGG